rnacentral:rRNA from 1 species
AUUGAACGCUGGCGGCAUCCCUUACACAUGCAAGUCGAGCGGCAGCGCGGGGGCAACCCUCGGCGGCGAGCGGCGAACGGGUGAGUAAUGCAUCGGAACGUGUCCUCUUGUGGGGGAGUAACCAGUCGAAAGACUGGCUAAUACCGCAUGAGAUCGAGAGAUGAAAGCAGGGGACCGCAAGGCCUUGCGCGAGAGGAGCGGCCGAUGCCGGAUUAGCAGUUGGUGGGGUAAAGCCUACCAAGGCGACGAUCCGUAGCUGGUAUGAGAGUACGACCAGCCACACUGGGACUGAGACACGGCCCAGACUCCUACGGGAGGCAGCAGUGGGGAAUUUUGGACAAUGGGGGCAACCCUGAUCCAGCCAUGCCGCGUGUGUGAAGAAGGCCUGGUUGUAAG